AGUGAACGCUGGCGGCGUGCCUAAUACAUGCAAGUCGAACGGAGUGGAGCACGGGUGAGUAAUAUAUAGCUAAUCUGCCCCUUGCUGGAGGACAACAGUUCGACAUGACUGCUAAUACUCCAUAGCAAGGGAUGAGACUAUAUCGUAUCAGCUAGUCGGUGGGGUAACGGCCUACCGAGGCUAGGAGGCGUAAAUGGUCGGAGAGGAUGAUCAGUCAGAUUGGAACUGAGACACGGUCCAAACGACUAAGGGAGGCAGCAGUAGGGAAUAUUGCGCAAUGGGGGAAACCCUGACGCAGCAACGCCGGGUGGAGGAUGAAACUUUUCGGAGCGUAAACGCCUUUUGUUAGGGAAGCGGUACAUAACGAAUAAGCACCGGCUAACUCCGUGCCAGCAGCCGCGGUAAUUC
rnacentral:rRNA from 1 species